ACGGAGGAUGCGAGCGUUAUCCGGAUUUAUUGGGUUUAAAGGGUGCGUAGGCGGGCUUUUAAGUCAGCGGUGAAAGGUUCGAGCUUAACUCGGACACUGCCGUUGAAACUGAUAGUCUUGAGUGCAAAUGAGGUAGGCGGAAUGUGUUGUGUAGCGGUGAAAUGCAUAGAUAUAACACAGAACUCCGAUUGCGAAGGCAGCUUACUGGGAUGCAACUGACGCUGAUGCACGAAAGCGUGGGUAUCAAACAG
rnacentral:rRNA from 1 species